UGGGGAAUAUUAGGCAAUGGGGGCAACCCUGACCUAGCCAUGCCGCGUGGGUGAAGAAGGUCUUAGGAUUGUAAAGCCCUUUCAGCGGGGAAGAUGAUGACGGUACCCGCAGAAGAAGCCCCGGCUAACUCCGUGCCAGCAGCCGCGGUAAUACGGAGGGGGCUAGCGUUGUUCGGAAUUACUGGGCGUAAAGGGCGUGUAGGCGGCCUAUUAAGUCAGAGGUGAAAUCCCCGGGCUCAACCUGGGAACUGCCUUUGAUACUGGUAGGCUAGAGUCCGGGAGAGGGUAGUGGAAUUCCCAGUGUAGAGGUGAAAUUCGUAGAUAUUGGGAAGAACACCAGUGGCGAAGGCGGCUACCUGGACCGGUACUGACGCUGAGGCGCGAAAGCGUGGGGAGCAAACAGGAUUAGAUACCCCCGUAGUCC
rnacentral:rRNA from 1 species